AUUGAACGCUGGCGGCAGGCCUAACACAUGCAAGUCGAAUGGUAACAGGAAACAGCUUGCUGUUUCGCUGACGAGUGGCGGACGGGUGAGUAAUGUCUGGGAAACUGCCUGAUGGAGGGGGAUAACUACUGGAAACGGUAGCUAAUACCGCAUAACGUCGCAAGACCAAAGAGGGGGACCUUCGGGCCUCUUGCCAUCAGAUGUGCCCAGAUGGGAUUAGCUAGUAGGUGGGGUAACGGCUCACCUAGGCGACGAUCCCUAGCUGGUCUGAGAGGAUGACCAGCCACACUGGAACUGAGACACGGUCCAGACUCCUUCGGGAGGCAGCAGUGGGGAAUAUUGCACAAUGGGCGCAAGCCUGAUGCAGCCAUGCCGCGUGUAUGAAGAAGGCCUUCGGGUUGUAAAGUACUUUCAGCGGGGAGGAAGGGAGUAAAGUUAAUACCUUUGCUCAUUGACGUUACCCGCAGAAGAAGCACCGGCUAACUCCGUG
rnacentral:rRNA from 1 species